rnacentral:rRNA from 1 species
UACGUAGGGUGCGAGCGUUGUCCGGAAUCAUUGGGCGUAAAGGGCGCGUAGGUGGCCCGGUCAGUCUUUGGUGAAAGCGCGGGGCUCAACCCUGCGUCGGCCAGGGAUACUGCCGCGGCUCGAGCACUGUAGAGGCAGGCGGAAUUCCGGGUGUAGCGGGGGAAUGCGUAGAGAUCCGGAAGAACACCGGUGGCGAAGGCGGCCUGCUGGGCAGUUUAGCUGACACUGAGGCGCGACAGCGUGGGGAGCAAACAGG